AUCGAACGCUGGCGGCAGGCCUAACACAUGCAAGUCGAACGAGUGGCGGACGGGUGAGUAAUGUUUGGGAAAUUGCCUGCUGGAGUGGUAGAACUACUGGAAACGGUAGUGAAUACCGCCUACCAUCUGUCGUGUCCACAUGGGAUUAGCUAGUAGGUGGGGUAAAGGCUUACCUAGGCGACGAUCCCUCGCUGGUCUGAGAGGAUGACCAGCCACACUGGAACUGAGACACGGUCCAGACUCCUACGGGAGGCAGCAGUGGGGAAUAUUGCACAAUGGGCGAAAGCCUGAUGCAGCCAUGCCGCGUGUAUGAAGAAGGCCUUCGGGUUGUAAAGUACUUUCAGCGGGGAGGCGUUACCCGCAGAAGAAGCACCGGCUAACUCCGUGCCAGCAGCCGCGGUAAUAC
rnacentral:rRNA from 1 species